rnacentral:rRNA from 1 species
CGGACGGGUGAGUAACGCGUGGGUAACCUGCCUUGCUCAGGGGGAUAACAGUCAGAAAUGACUGCUAAUACCGCAUAAGCGCACAGGACCGCAUGGUCCGGUGUGAAAAACUCCGGUGGUAUUAGAUGGACCCGCGUUGGAUUAGCUUGUUGGCAGGGUAACGGCCUACCAAGGCAACGAUCCAUAGCCGGCCUGAGAGGGUGAACGGCCACAUUGGGACUGAGACACGGCCAGACUCCUACGGGAGGCAGCAGUGGGGAAUAUUGCACAAUGGGGGAAACCCUGAUGCAGCGACGCCGCGUGAAGGAAGAAGUAUCUCGGUAUGUAAACUUCUAUCAGCAGGGAAGAAAAUGACGGUACCUGACUAAGAAGCCCCGGCUAACUACGUGCCAGCAGCCGCGGUAAUACGUAGGGGGCAAGCGUUAUCCGGAUUUACUGGGUGUAAAGGGAGCGUAGACGGAUGGACAAGUCUGAUGUGAAAGGCUGGGGCUCAACCCCGGGACUGCAUUGGAAACUGCCCGUCUUGAGUGCCGGAGAGGUAAGCGGAAUUCCUAGUGUAGCGGUGAAAUGCGUAGAUAUUAGGAGGAACACCAGUGGCGAAGGCGGCUUACUGGACGGUAACUGACGUUGAGGCUCGAAAGCGUGGGGAGCAAACAGGAUUAGAUACCCUGGUAGUCCACGCGGUAAACGAUGAAUGCUA